UACCCUACGGGGGGCAGCAGUGGGGAAUAUUGGGCAAUGGGCGCAAGCCUGACCCAGCAACGCCGCGUGAAGGAAGAAGGCUUUCGGGUUGUAAACUUCUUUUAUCAGGGACGAAGCAAGUGACGGUACCUGAUGAAUAAGCCACGGCUAACUACGUGCCAGCAGCCGCGGUAAUACGUAGGUGGCAAGCGUUAUCCGGAUUUACUGGGUGUAAAGGGCGUGUAGGCGGGAGUGCGAGUCAGAUGUGGAAACUAUGGGCUCAACCCAUAGCCUGCAUUUGAAACUGUACUUCUU
rnacentral:rRNA from 1 species